rnacentral:rRNA from 1 species
GGGGGACAGGGUGACAGGUGGUGCAUGGUUGUCGUCAGCUCGUGUCGUGAGAUGUUGGGUUAAGUCCCGCGACGAGCGCAACCCUCGACCUUAGUUGCCAGCAUUCAGUUGGGCACUCUAAGGUGACUGCCGGCUAAAAGUCGGAGGAAGGUGGGGAUGACGUCAAAUCAUCAUGCCCCUUAUGACCUGGGCUACACACGUGCUACAAUGGGCGGUACAAAGGGUCGCGAACCCGCGAGGGGGAGCCAAUCCCAAAAAGCCGCUCUCAGUUCGGAUUGCAGGCUGCAACUCGCCUGCAUGAAGCCGGAAUCGCUAGUAAUCGCGGAUCAGCAUGCCGCGGUGAAUACGUUCCCGGGCCUU